rnacentral:rRNA from 1 species
AUGGGGGGACGAUGGGUUAGAUGUGUAUGGCAAUGGACAGCACCGGGGUUCCUCCUCCACAGGAGGGGGCGUGGUUAUGCCUGGCAGAGUGACGGGUCUGCUGAGAGACCGUUUCUCGGGCCUCCAGGAGGUUUUGUUGAGGGUGCUUCCGGUCCGGAUCACCGCGAGAGAGGGGGUCAUCGUGGACAUCGCGGUGGUCGGGGCGGUGGCCGCGGGAGGUAUCAUCGCAGACCGCCUCCGCCUCCGGCAGUUGUUGACCAAGCGGAGUCAGUACUGGAGACCGAUUGCGCUUCCACGGAGCUCCCUCCCCAGGCAAUGGAGGUGGUAGCGGCUUUAGCCACUGUUGAGGUUCCGACGACUGGGAGUGUGACUGAGGUUACCGACAUGUCUGAUGCUCAGAGGGCGUCCAAGUGGGUGCGUAAGAAGGAAAGGAUGCUUUGCUACCGUUGUGGUGAGAAGGGCCACUUCAUCGCUGAAUGCGUGGCAGAGCUGUGUGAGUCCUGUGGUAAGCCGGCACAUGCCUCGGGGGAUUGCCCGUUGUUGCGUGACCAGGCUCCGUCUUUGACUAUGUAUGGAGUUUAUUGUGCUGAGCUAAUGUUCUUUGAGUCCCCGGCAACGAGAGAGACACCGGAGGAGACUUUGAGCUUGACCACCGGGGUUGUCAAAGCUACUCAGGGUGAGGUUUCGGAGGAUCAGAUAGUGCAGAGGCUUCAGGAACUGGCACCGGGAGACUUCCAUUGGGAGCUCGUUCCUCUUGAGGCCAAGGUUUUUAAGGUGGAGUUUCCUUCAGUGGACGAUCUGCAGCGACUGUUGAGUUUUGGUUUAUGCAGAGUUCCUGGCACUAGGUGCAUUCUGGAGUUCCAUGAGUGGCAGCAGGUGGAACCUAAAGGAAAGCCGCUUACGCAGGUCUGGUUGCGGUUUUCGGGGGCUCCAUCUAAGCCUUUGCAGGAUGUUCGAGUCGUGGCCAGUAUGGGCAUUAUGGUUGGCAAGAUGGAGAAAGUGGAUAUGGCCUUUACUUGUGCACAUGGAGUGGCCCGCAUCUUAGUGAGUGUUUUGGAUAUUGAGUUCGUGCCUGACGUGGUUAACUGGACUUACAGAGGAGAGGUGUUUCCUCUUGAGAUCGAGUUUGAGGACGCUGCCCUGUUUGCUAAGGCAAUGAUUGGGAAUGAUGUUGACAUGCACGAGGGGGACGACAGUACGGGAGCUGAGGAGGCACCGACUGACGAGUCGACUCGUGAGUGGACUAACGGCUCUCGUCCUGUAGCUCAGACCGGGGAUGGAACCGGGGUUGAGCCGGCACCUUCUCCAUCGGUGCCUAUGACUUCGUUGCGGUUCGGGUCCUUUGAGCCAGCCUCUGCCCCUCCCAGACUUUGGAGUGACCGGUAG